AGUACACGUGGGCCAACUACCCUAUGGACAGGAAUACUCUCGGGAAACUGAGGUUAAUUCCUGAUACAGCUUCCAUGUUGGAACUGCAGGAAGCUGGAAACGUUCCGACGCCAUAGGAUGUGGCUGCGGCCGAUUAGGUAGACGGUGGGGUAACGGCCCACCGUGCCAGUAAUCGGUACGGGUCGUGGGAGCGAGAGCCCGGAGACGGUAUCUGAGACAAGAUGCCGGGCCCUACGGGGCGCAGCAGGCGCGAAACCUUUACACUGCACGACAGUGCGAUAGGGGGACUCCAAGUGCGAGGGCAUAUAGUCCUCGCUUUUGUACACCGUAAGGUGGUGUACGAAUAAGAACUGGGCAAGACCGGUGCCAGCCGCCGCGGUAAUACCGGCAGUUCGAGUGAUGGCCGAUCUUAUUGGGCCUAAAGCGUUCGUAGCUGGCCAGUCAAGUCUGUCGGGAAAUCUGCUCGCUCAACGAGCAGCCGUCCGGCGGAAACUGAUUGGCUUGGGACCGGAAGACCCGAGAAGUACGUCCGGGGUAGGAGUGAAAUCCCGUAAUCCUGGACGGACUACCGAUGGCGAAAGCAUCUCGGGAGCACGGAUCCGACAGUGAGGAACGAAAGCUGGGGUCUCGAACCGGAUUAGAUACCCGGGUAGUCCCAGCCG
rnacentral:rRNA from 1 species